AUUGAACGCUGGCGGAAUGCUUUACACAUGCAAGUCGAACGGCAGCACGGGGGCAGCCCUGGUGGCGAGUGGCGAACGGGUGAGUAAUACAUCGGAACGUGCCCGGUCGUGGGGGAUAACGUAGCGAAAGUUACGCUAAUACCGCAUACGAUCUGAGGAUGAAAGCGGGGGACCUUCGGGCCUCGCGCGAUCGGAGCGGCCGAUGUCAGAUUAGGUAGUUGGUGGGGUAAAGGCCUACCAAGCCGACGAUCUGUAGCUGGUCCGAGAGGACGACCAGCCACACUGGGACUGAGACACGGCCCAGACUCCUACGGGAGGCAGCAGUGGGGAAUUUUGGACAAUGGGCGCAAGCCUGAUCCAGCCAUUCCGCGUGCAGGACGAAGGCCUUCGGGUUGUAAACUGCUUUUGUACGGAACGAAAAGGCUCUGGCUAAUACCUGGGGCUCAUGACGGUACCGUAAGAAUAAGCACCGGCUAACUACGUG
rnacentral:rRNA from 1 species